AGCUUUGCGAAGUGCCGAUAUCGUAACCAAUGAGAUUUUACCGAGAUGCUAUUAUUGCUAGUUGAAAAAAAAUCCUAUUCAAUAGUGUAUCAUGUUUUCUACAAGAAAUUUGGAACUGUUUGAUUCCUGAUAAUGGUUUAUAUUA